GGUUAAGUGACUAAGCGUACACGGUGGAUGCCUGGGCAGUCAGAGGCGAUGAAGGACGUACUAACUUGCGAUAAGCGCAGAUAAGGCAGUAAGAGCCGUUUGAGUCUGCGAUUUCCGAAUGGGGAAACCCAACUGCAUAAGCAGUUACUGUUAACUGAAUACAUAGGUUAACAGAGCAAACCGGGGGAACUGAAACAUCUAAGUACCCCGAGGAGAAGAAAUCAACCGAGAUUCCGGUAGUAGCGGCGAGCGAACCUGGAUUAGCCCUUAAGCACUCGUUGAAGUAGGUGAACAAGCUGGAAAGCUUGGCGAUACAGGGUGAUAGCCCCGUAACCGACGCUUCAUCGAGCGUGAAAUCGAGUAGGGCGGGACACGUGAUAUCCUGUCUGAAUAUGGGGGGACCAUCCUCCAAGGCUAAAUACUCCUGACUGACCGAUAGUGAACCAGUACCGUGAGGGAAAGGCGAAAAGAACCCCUGUGAGGGGAGUGAAAUAGAACCUGAAACCGUGUACGUACAAGCAGUAGGAGCACCUUCGUGGUGUGACUGCGUACCUUUUGUAUAAUGGGUCAGCGACUUAUAUUCAGUGGCAAGGUUAACCGUAUAGGGGAGCCGUAGCGAAAGCGAGUCUUAACUGGGCGCUCAGUCUCUGGAUAUAGACCCGAAACCGGGUGAUCUAGCCAUGGGCAGGUUGAAGGUGAGUAACAUCAACUGGAGGACCGAACCGACUAAUGUUGAAAAAUUAGCGGAUGACUUGUGGCUAGGGGUGAAAGGCCAAUCAAACUCGGAGAUAGCUGGUUCUCCCCGAAAGCUAUUUAGGUAGCGCCUCGGACGAAUACUACUGGGGGUAGAGCACUGUUAAGGCUAGGGGGUCAUCCCGACUUACCAACCCUUUGCAAACUCCGAAUACCAGUAAGUACUAUCCGGGAGACACACGGCGGGUGCUAACGUCCGUCGUGGAGAGGGAAACAACCCAGACCGCCAGCUAAGGUCCCAAAGUAUUGCUAAGUGGGAAACGAUGUGGGAAGGCUCAGACAGCUAGGAUGUUGGCUUAGAAGCAGCCAUCAUUUAAAGAAAGCGUAAUAGCUCACUAGUCGAGUCGGCCUGCGCGGAAGAUGUAACGGGGCUAAGCAAUACACCGAAGCUGCGGCAAUGAAGUUUACUUCAUUGGGUAGGGGAGCGUUCUGUAAGCCGUUGAAGGUGAAUCGUAAGGUUUGCUGGAGGUAUCAGAAGUGCGAAUGCUGACAUGAGUAACGACAAGGGGGGUGAAAAACCUCCCCGCCGGAAGACCAAGGGUUCCUGUCCAACGUUAAUCGGGGCAGGGUGAGUCGACCCCUAAGGUGAGGCCGAAAGGCGUAAUCGAUGGGAAACGGGUUAAUAUUCCCGUACUUCUGACUAUUGCGAUGGGGGGACGGAGAAGGCUAGGUGGGCCAGGCGACGGUUGUCCUGGUUCAAGUGCGUAGGCUUGAGAGUUAGGUAAAUCCGGCUCUCUUUAAGGCUGAGACACGACGUCGAGCUGCUACGGCAGUGAAGUCAUUGAUGCCAUGCUUCCAGGAAAAGCCUCUAAGCUUCAGAUAGUCAGGAAUCGUACCCCAAACCGACACAGGUGGUCGGGUAGAGAAUACCAAGGCGCUUGAGAGAACUCGGGUGAAGGAACUAGGCAAAAUGGUACCGUAACUUCGGGAGAAGGUACGCUCUUGAUGGUGAAGUCCCUCGCGGAUGGAGCUGACGAGAGUCGCAGAUACCAGGUGGCUGCAACUGUUUAUUAAAAACACAGCACUGUGCAAAAUCGCAAGAUGACGUAUACGGUGUGACGCCUGCCCGGUGCCGGAAGGUUAAUUGAUGGGGUUAGCGUAAGCGAAGCUCUUGAUCGAAGCCCCGGUAAACGGCGGCCGUAACUAUAACGGUCCUAAGGUAGCGAAAUUCCUUGUCGGGUAAGUUCCGACCUGCACGAAUGGCGUAAUGAUGGCCACGCUGUCUCCACCCGAGACUCAGUGAAAUUGAAAUCGCUGUGAAGAUGCAGUGUACCCGCGGCUAGACGGAAAGACCCCGUGAACCUUUACUACAGCUUGGCACUGAACAUUGAACCUACAUGUGUAGGAUAGGUGGGAGGCUAUGAAGACGUGACGCCAGUUGCGUUGGAGCCGUCCUUGAAAUACCACCCUUGUAUGUUUGAUGUUCUAACUUAGACCCAUUAUCUGGGUUGAGGACAGUGCCUGGUGGGUAGUUUGACUGGGGCGGUCUCCUCCCAAAGAGUAACGGAGGAGCACGAAGGUGGGCUAAUCACGGUUGGACAUCGUGAGGUUAGUGCAAUGGCAUAAGCCCGCUUAACUGCGAGAAUGACGGUUCGAGCAGGUGCGAAAGCAGGUCAUAGUGAUCCGGUGGUUCUGUAUGGAAGGGCCAUCGCUCAACGGAUAAAAGGUACUCCGGGGAUAACAGGCUGAUACCGCCCAAGAGUUCAUAUCGACGGCGGUGUUUGGCACCUCGAUGUCGGCUCAUCACAUCCUGGGGCUGAAGUCGGUCCCAAGGGUAUGGCUGUUCGCCAUUUAAAGUGGUACGCGAGCUGGGUUUAGAACGUCGUGAGACAGUUCGGUCCCUAUCUGCCGUGGGCGUUGGAAGAUUGAAGGGGGCUGCUCCUAGUACGAGAGGACCGGAGUGGACGAACCUCUGGUGUUCGGGUUGUGUCGCCAGACGCAUUGCCCGGUAGCUAAGUUCGGAAUCGAUAACCGCUGAAAGCAUCUAAGCGGGAAGCGAGCCCUGAGAUGAGUCUUCCCUGACAGUUUAACUGUCCUAAAGGGUUGUUCGAGACUAGAACGUUGAUAGGCAGGGUGUGUAAGCGUUGUGAGGCGUUGAGCUAACCUGUACUAAUUGCCCGUGAGGCUUAACCAU
rnacentral:rRNA from 1 species